rnacentral:lncRNA from 10 species
UGCGAUCAUAGCGCACUGCAUCAUCUCCAGGGCACAUCUCUCCUCCCGCCUCGGCCUCCCAAAGUGUUGAGGUGGUAGGCAUGAGGCAUCCAGCAGGGCUUCAUUCACAUUUUCUGUCUGCCUAUGGAGGCUGGGAUCAGCCCUGGCCAUUCAGGGAGUUCCGUGGAGGGUGCCCCGGGCCCACCAGGCCAUCCUCUGACCGCUUUGGGCCGAGUGUAUUACAGGUUCAUGUGGGACCCGAACCAGGCGGUGUAGACUGGGGAAAGUGCCUGUCUGGUGAGGUCCGGCGGGUGUUCGAGCGCCACCUAGGGUCAGUCUGAUGCCAUCCCCUGAGCUUGGCUGCCGCGUGUAUGGGAAGUGAUCUGGCUGCAAACCGCAAGAGAGAGUUCCAGGAGGUCGCCGGCGAUGACAGAGUCUUCUCGGCUACGACACGCGCCGCCCCAUCAUGGGCUCUCCUGAGAUCGUUACUGCGUGUUGCGGGCGAGCAGUCUCUGAGAAUCUCGCGGGCUGAAUGUCGCAUGAGGUCCCCUCCGCCCGUGGGGACUGGCUGCUGCCGUCGCAGCUGUCAUGGUGGAAUCAGGAAUACAUAGUCCCUAGUGGCAUUAACAGAACAAGAACCAUA